GGACUGAGGGCACCUGGCUCGUGACGUGUCUCACCCCCAUUGAUCGCAGGGCUAUUGGCUGAUCUAGUCGCUGCGGGUUCCCUGCUUCCUCCCUCACUGCUGCAUGUGCGUCACGUUCUGAAGCUCGGCCCUGGGUCAAAGGGCGAUGACACCUUCCCCCAUAGAAGACGACUGUUCUUCGGGCGAGCGGGCAGAAGAACAGCGAACCAAAGAUAACAGCUGGUGUGCAACCCUACCAGAACUUGGAGCGCAACCUGGUCGCGCUUAUAAGCUGUAAAAUCGCAGCA
rnacentral:sRNA from 1 species